GGUUAAGCGACUAAGCGUACACGGUGGAUGCCCUGGCAGUCAGAGGCGAUGAAGGGCGUGCUAAUCUGCGAUAAGCGCCGGUAAGGUGAUAUGAACCGUUAUAACCGGCGAUGGUUAAUGAGGCGAACCGGGGGAACUGAAACAUCUAAGUACCCCGAGGAAAAGAAAUCAACCGAGAUUCCCCCAGUAGCGGCGAGCGAACGGGGAGGAGCCCAGAGCCUGAAUCAGCAUGUGUGUUAGUGGAAGUGUCUGGAAAGGCGCGCGAUACAGGGUGACAGCCCCGUACACAAAAGCGCAUGUGCUGUGAGCUCGAUGAGUAGGGCGGGACACGUGGUAUCCUGUCUGAAUAUGGGGGGACCAUCCUCCAAGGCUAAAUACUCCUGACUGACCGAUAGUGAACCAGUACCGUGAGGGAAAGGCGAAAAGAACCCCGGCGAGGGGAGUGAAAAAGAACCUGAAACCGUGUACGUACAAGCAGUGGGAGCACAGGUUUACCUGUGUGACUGCGUACCUUUUGUAUAAUGGGUCAGCGACUUAUAUUCUGUAGCAAGGUUAACCGAAUAGGGGAGCCGGAGGGAAACCGAGUCUUAAUUGGGCGUUAAGUUGCAGGGUAUAGACCCGAAACCCGGUGAUCUAGCCAUGGGCAGGUUGAAGGUUGGGUAACACUAACUGGAGGACCGAACCGACUAAUGUUGAAAAAUUAGCGGAUGACCUGUGGCUGGGGGUGAAAGGCCAAUCAAACCGGGAGAUAGCUGGUUCUCCCCGAAAGCUAUUUAGGUAGCGCCUCGUGAACUCAUCUCCGGGGGUAGAGCACUGUUUCGGCUAGGGGGCCAUCCCGGCUUACCAACCCGAUGCAAACUGCGAAUACCGGAGAAUGUUAUCACGGGAGACACACGGCGGGUGCUAACGUCCGUCGUGAAGAGGGAA
rnacentral:rRNA from 1 species